UAAUUACUCACUCCGUCCAACAAAAGAUAUCUCAAGUUUAUCAAAAUUUGGAUGCAUCUAGACAUGACUUAGUGUAUAGAUGCAUUCAAAUUUAAUCAAAACUGAGACAUCCUUUGGACGGAGGGAGUACAUG
rfam:Brachypodium distachyon strain Bd21 chromosome 1, whole genome shotgun sequence.